UACGAAUGGGGCAAGCGUUGUUCGGAAUCACUGGGCGUAAAGCGUGUGUAGGCGGUCUAUCAAGUCAGGAGUGAAAUCCCCGGGCUCAACCCGGGAAUUGCUCUUGAAACUGAUAAGCUAGAGUACUGGAGAGGUUAGCAGAAUUCCGAGUGUAGAGGUGAAAUUCGCAGAUAUUCGGAGGAAUACCAGUGGCGCAAGCGGCUAACUGGACAGUAACUGACGCUGAGACACGAAAGCGUGGGGAUCAAACAGG
rnacentral:rRNA from 1 species